CCUACGGGAGGCAGCAGUGAGGAAUAUUGGUCAAUGGCCGGAAGGCUGAACCAGCCAAGUCGCGUGAAGGAUGACUGCCCUAUGGGUUGUAAACUUCUUUUAUAAGGGAAGAAUAAAUGCUACGUGUAGCAUGAUGACUGUACUUUAUGAAUAAGCAUCGGCUAACUCCGUGCCAGCAGCCGCGGUAAUACGGAGGAUGCGAGCGUUAUCCGGAUUUAUUGGGUUUAAAGGGUGCGUAGGGGGGUUUUUAAGUUAGUGGUUAAAUGUUGGGGCUUAAACUUGAAUUUGCCAUUAAUACGUGAAGACUUGAGUUCAGAUGAGGUAGGCGGAAUAAGUGAAGUAGCGGUGAAAUGCUUAGAUAUAACGUAGAACUCCGAUAGCGAAGGCAGCUUACCAGACUGCGACUGACGUUGAAGCACGAGAGCGUGGGUAGCGAACAGGAUUAGAUACCCGUGUAGUC
rnacentral:rRNA from 1 species